rnacentral:rRNA from 1 species
CACGAACGCUGGCGGCAGGCUUAACACAUGCAAGUCGAACGCCCCGCCAGGGGGAUGGCCCACGGGAGCUUAACGCGGGGCUAUCUGCCUUCUGGUUCUGAAUAAACCUGGGAAACUGGGGUUACUUCGGGAAAGUUCCGCUGGGCCAAAGACAUAUCGUGAAACGAAGAGUCCACUUAUGAUAUGCUAGUUGGCGAGGUCAUGGCGCAGCAAGGGGGCGACCGUUAGCUGGUCAGAGAGGACGAUCAGCCACACUGGGAGUGAGACACGGCACAGACUCCUACGGGAGGCAGCAGUGGGGAAUGGAGGAACGUGGGGGGAGCGCUGAACCAGCCAGGCCGGGUGAGUGAUGAAAGCCUGGGGGUUGAAAAGCGCAUUUGGCGAGGACGAUGAUGACGGUACCCACACAGUAAGCCCCGGCUAACUUCGUG